AAAACCACCACCAAACACCAAACCGGCGAAAUGACCCCACCCCUUUUGCAACAACCUAUUGGGCACACUUUAAUUUAGACAUUGUUUGUGUACACACAAACACACACUCACACACACCUCAGUAGAUUUUGAAUUAUCAGCAUAUAGAUGACAGGGUGCCAACGUGUGGCAGCGGAAGCGUCACCGUAAGUCUGUACGUCAUGAUAGGGGCCCUGAGAAUACACCAAUCCCUCCAAUAUUUCACCCUCUCUCCCUCUUUCUUCCUUUUCUUCCUACCGUCUCGUUUCAUUCUCUCUCCCUCUCUCUCUCUCUCUCUCUCUCUCUCUCUCUCUCUCACACACACACACACAGCAGUUGUAACACCGCUUUGAAAAUAUCUGACUGCCCCAUCAUUCAGUAACACCACUCACUGUCCAUAAUAAAGGUUGUAAUAACUACAGGCAAAUGACAAAUAACUGUACAGAGCCCAGCAAGGGAGUUUCUCUCCAUCCCUUUUCUCUCUCUUCUUUUUCUUAUCCUCCAUCUCUUUCUCUUUCUGUGUGUGUACGUGUGUGUGUGUGUGUGUAAAUAUAUUAGCCACAGUAGCCUAUACGAGACGUGGCCUCAACGUGUCUAAAGACCGUCCACGACUUACAUAACUCGUGGCUACGAGUGUUUUGUUUCUAGUGGGAUCAACUUCAAAAAAACGUGGCUAUCAUUUAACCCUGCUUUGCCACCAAGUUUAAAAAGGAAAAAAAAAGUGACCCCGACAUAUCAGGUAACGUGUUUGUUUUGAACAGGGGUCUCCCUCUGCUUUUGGUGCCCAAUUGUCUUUUUUCUGACAUAAGACUUCAACAACGUCACUCCCUAAGCUCAGCCUAAAUAAUACGUAGCCCCCAAUUUCAUUACAACUGGAGAGCCACCUGUCGCCUAUAUUGUAACACGCGCGCUCAGGUCUGACUUCACUUUUGCAAAGAGCCAGUACUAACCCUCCAGAUCCGGAGAAUUCUGCCCAGUGUAUGACGUAGGCUUUUGUAUCAGCCGUUGGGUUGAGUUCAGUCAGAUGGGUGAUGCGUGAUAAAGGCCUCCAAUAAACCGAGUUCGACUUUGAUUCAUUAAUGGUUUGCAUAUAAGCUACGUACUUACGUCAUCCGCACCAGUUGGUCAUUGAAAGAAAUAGAGGGAGGGAGUCCUGAGCAAGCCAAGGCAAGUGAUUCCCUUAAUAGGCCUAUACGUUUGAGUAAACCCGGCCAACUGGUAACAGCUUAUAGACUUUUGAACAAACCAUUUAAUUUAUAAAGCCUACAUAUUUAAAUACAAAUUAUGUCAGUUAACGUCAUCAAAAUGGGAAACACCAGAAAUGGCCUGAACGACCGAAGAGUCUCCCGCAAAAAAACGGAUCACCACUGCUUCAGUCGAAUUAGUUCACUCGCUGUCUGGACUCACAAUAAACAUGAGCUGAUCACGACUGUAACUAAUUGAAUAAGAACACAGAGAAAUAAAGACAAAGAAAUCAGGCUUAUAUGGUUUGACUGGGUUUAACAAUCGAAAUAAUUGUUCGAUUCAAAUCGAUUUCCAUAAAAAUGGUCUGAUAAUAAUUCACAAAAACCCAAGAUUGAUCUUUGGAUCUGAACUAUUUGGCCUAAAGCAAUGCAAUAAGGAUAAUAAAUACAUAUAGCUUACUUUGAUUCAUUCUUCAUUGUUAAUAAUAGUAUUAGUAAUAAGUAAACACUAAUUAUUUUAAUAAUGGUAUAGGUCGAGCCUUUCUUGCCGAAAUACAGCAUUAGUUCUCUUCAGAUCUCUUUUCAUAUCCAAACCUGCUAUUGCAAGUGAAACAUCUCUAAAUGAAUUAUUAUCAAAUUGAAUCUGAAAUCAAAUUGAAUUGGAACCUGGUGAAUGAUUUGAAAUCAGAUCGAUUCUGGAAGUCUGUGGUGAUACCCUGCCCUAGCUUACAUGUCGAGGACCAACCCCUCUCUUUUGUGAAUAGGGAGUCUCCAUCAGAGAGAAAAUCAAUGACGUCAAAACUUCUCCGACUCCAGACAACGCAUCUGCGUGUGUACUGUGUGCUGUAAAAUACCAGACACGCUGCGUCACCAGCAUCCUUAACUGGUUUAAAUAUGUAAUAAACAAAAUCAAAUAAAUCGUUUUAAUUUAAUAUGGUUUAAACAGAAUAUAGCCUAAACCGUUUUAAUACGGUUUAACUGGGCCUACAUUCUUCACAGAUGUGCAGACCGCAGUGGUGCUGCUGUGGUUGACUUACGAGGCCGCGUAUAGGCUCGCUUAUACCUUUCUCGCAUUACGUCAUAAGGCUUCGUGUAGGGUAAAGUGCUGUUGUCAUUAGUACAGGGGUACUUUUGCGUGGUCUUAUGUGACGGAGCAGAAAAGUUCUUCAGCUCUUCAUUCCGUCCUCAAUGUCUCUCUCUCUCUGGGUCCUUGACACUGAACACGAUUAUGUCAUCUGAAAAAAUGGAAUAAAAAGAAAAUAAAGUACAUAAUAAAACGUCUGUUUUAAUAAUAAAACUGCAACAAAUCUGUAUAAUUUCAUAUAAGCGCCGUUAGGCUUGGUUGCGCAGGGUCCGGCUGACCCUCCAGAGCUAAAAAUAGAACAGACCAUUCGUCGAACGAGGCAGACGAUAAUAUGUGCUGCACAAAAAAACAAUAACACAUUUCAGAGCUGAUAACAAACAGAAGAAGAAUGUUUUAUUUCUUUUUUUGGUAGUCGAACUACCAAAGAUCUGAGUCACCCAAAAGCAGCCCUGAGUUAAUGGCCCCGCGCGUGCUGAGCUGUGUGUGACAAAGCGAGAGUAUGUGAAGAACCACACACACAAACACACAUACACACGGACUGUAAAGCACUGUGUAAUGUUAGCACACACACGAACACACAGGAUCCUGCAUGUAUGUGCAUGUCGAGAUGUGGAAAAUUGUUUGUGUGAGUGUAAUGCGUGCUUGUAUGUGUGAUACUUGUGAUUCGUGACUUUGUGAAGUAGGCUCCUAAAGUUGGUGGUCUCACUCCCCUCUUUCCUUCUGCAUUAAAACAUCCACUAGUGCCAUCAUUGUGUGUUUCCAAAUAUUCAUUCAUGGACAUGAUUUAUAAGGGUCUCUCAUUCAUGCAGUUGGUGAUACUGCAGAACAACCCCCUCAUUCCCAGCAUUCACACUCUCUCUCACACACAAACACACCUUUCACUCAUUCACUAAGGGAUAUAUAAAGCUGUGAUCUGUCUAUUUUGGCUUCUUUUGCAGUGUAAAUUGGACAGGAACCUUGGAGAAGUGAGAAAGAAGUUUCUUCACUGCCAUUGAAAGAUGCUGUUAGAUCUCAGGCCUCACUCAUUCAGCGCUUUGCUCAUGAUGCCCCAUCCACUUCAUUCACAACUGCCACUAUGGACAGAUCGUGGGGCCUGAGGAAAAGCACCUGUUUUUCUACUCCAGUCAAUGGUAUGGUGGCCUUCAACAUUUUAACGGUUCUUUACAAAGCUUGUGUGACUUUAUUUUACUUCUGGUUUUGAUUUGUAAGAUGUAUUUACAGUACUCUGAACAGCAAAUGCAGAAAUUUAUUAUUUAUUUUUCAUAUUUCUUCACUUUAACUUUGGUGCAGUGACAGCAAUUCAUAUAUUGAUCGGGUUACUUGGUGAUUCAUUAUUAACUAAAAGAAAGGACACUUGUUAAUUUGUCCUUGUUACAUUUCCUUUUAUUACUGAACUGAUAGUUUUUUGUUUAUUGUGUUUUAUAGCAUUUUAUUUGUUUUACAUCAAUUUAUACCAUCAAACAUUUACAGAAACAUCAGGCAUUUCAUUAUCUCUUUAAGACAGGCGAUUAUUACCCGUUAUUUUAGGCAAAAGACUGUUUUACUUUUUCAUUAUCUGUCCUGAGACAGUUUCAUCUGCCAUGCCUGGACAGAUGACUGAUGGAACUGCAUAAGAUGUGAGAGAGUUGAGGUUGCACUUUGAGGAACUUUCAUCUUUCUUUUGUUGCUGUCUGAACUCUUAUUGCUGUUUACAGAAAUGAUGAUGACUUACUGUAGGAUAGCAGAUUGUUCCCUACAAGCUUGAGCAUAUGACUCAGGGAAGGUGUGAGGGAUGAGUCAGAAUCAGGCGGGGUCUAAGGAGGGAGGGGGUACUCUGCUACCUGUUAGGGGGUCCUGUGACGUGACGGGAUCAGGUGAACCAGACCAAGACAAUCUAAACACUCAUCAAACACAAUAAUAUUGCUGAUAAUGGUAACACUAACAACACACGGAAGCCAUUUUAGAGGAUCACAUAUCAGCCAUUUGUUGUGUUCAGUCCACUGCCAAAACAGUGUUACUGCACCUAUUAAAUUUCAUUUUCUAUUUUUCCAUGCUGAUAUUUUUUAUAAAACACGCCUUCCUGUUUCUAUUAUUAUUAUUUUUAAACUAUUUAAAUAAUACAAAAUAAAUAUUUUGAGUUGUGACAAGUUUUAGCUAGACUUCAAAAGCAAACCAGCAAGGGUCAUACUUGAUAACUUGAAAAUAAAUUAAGAAAUGAGAAUAAAAUAAAUUAAAUUAAAAAUAUAUAUUUUCUAUUAUUAAUUUUAAUGACUGAUGGUCAUGUUUCAGUAACAUUCUUAUUGUAUAAAUGACUGAAUGAGCUAAGAACACUUGGACAUUUUGGCACUAAUCAAUAAUGUUUAUCCACACAACUAUUUAAUUUCCACGUAUUCUUAUUAUAUAGGACAUAAACAUAAUAUACAUAUGUUAAUAUUAAUAACAAGUCUUUAAAUAUUUGGAAAAAAGGAAAUCUCAUUUCUUUUCAUAUACCGUACAUGGAACAUAAAACAGGACACAGCCCUACGCACAACUUUUUUUUUUAUUACUAAUUCUGAAACAAAGUUGUCGGUGAUGCAUUCAUUUAUCACAUUAUAUCAUAAUCAACUCAUUUACACAAUCAGAGCUGCUGCAGAGUGGCAGAAGCAGACAAACAUGUAAUGUGAUAGUGCUGCAUGCACAAAAUUCAGCAGAGACCUUAAGACUAAACUACUACUUAUUAAAGUUAAUCAGUUUAACAUACACAAACAUUUGUAUGUUAUACUAUAAAAGGGUAAUAAAAAUGUUAAUGAAAUACAUGGCCACUAAUCAGUCUUGUAUUUUAAAUCUCAGUAUGGCUUGAGAUUCAGAGUAACAACAAUUGAUAUUUGUUUGAUUUUAUAUAAUUAAAAAAACUGUUUGUGCAUUUAUUAAUGAGUGUUUUUAUAUUGCAGGGCAUUUGUGAAUGAGAAGAGGUCCAGACCGGAGCAGAAUGGGUUCAGUACCAUGCCGUGUUUCUUCAGAAAGAGGAGAGACAGGCAGUGAAAGGAUAGGGGCAUGUGCUUAUAUUCAGAAUAAAGUGGAUGAAUCAGUGAUCCCAGUUAUCACAGUUCGGUAUCACCACCCGCCCAUUUAGCACAAGCUUAAAAAAAAUAGAGGAUGCUUUAAAACAAAGUAAAACAGACAGUAUUUUGGUUACAACCAAACAGUCUAUGCCUUUUUUUUUUAUGCCUUUUAAAGACUAAUGUCGUUUAUUUUAAACAGACAGGACUCCCACAUUAGCAUGCCUUUUAUAAACAGUAAACACAAUUCACUGAGCUUCUAAAUGACAUAUUCCUUAUUAGCAUGUUCCUGCUUAAGUUAGUUAUACAGGAACCUCAGUAUUUUUAUUAGUGUUGAAUUGGUCCAGAAGUACAAUUUUAUACAUGAGAGGGCAUUCUGAAUAGAGGACACAAAGGAAUGAUAACACAAAAUCAUAGAAAGACAAGACAAUUCCUCAUGUUCAAUUAGAUAAUGUCUCAGUUCUAAAAAAAAUAUGAGACGUUAUUAUGUCAUCUAUAAUAUAUCUCUAUAUUUAUAUAUAUAUAUAAUGUUUAUAUAAUCUAUAUACAUUCUAAUUUCCAACUUCUGAUCUGUAUAAUCUGAGACCUUUGAGUUUAGAAGAAUAAUCAUACAUUUUGAAUCAUUCCAAAAGUUACUAAUUUCAGGUAAAACUCUGUAAUAGAGAAUGUGAUAUUACAAUUCACAGAAAGUAGAAAAAUACUUGUAUGAUAAAAAGGCCUCUAAAAGCCCUGUACCUCCAUAGAGAGUAGGAGUCUCGGUAGGAGAAUAGAAACACAAAAGGAAUAAAAAAAAAGAAAGAAUCAGUUACUUCUGUCUCAUCUCAUUUAAUAUAGAGUUAAGAAUACUUUUAAACAAUAUGACAUAUUGUAUGUGUUAAAUGAGUCUCCAAAAAAAAUCUAAGUAAAUAAGCAAUCGUCCAAAUGCUCCCCUAAAAUAAGUGGUACAGCAAAGGGAUGUGUUAAAUGAGUUUAUGUAGAAGUAUAAGCCGAUUCUUAGUACAAGGCCAGCAUACUUUGCACAACAGUAAGGCCAGUGCAAAUAUAUUCAAUAUAUUCAAAGUGUCAGUUUGCUUGUAAAAUAAUUCAAUUAAACAGACCACUGACUUUGUAAAUCAGAGGCAAUGCUAUAGUAGUAGCAGUAAGUAUAUAUGUAAUAUUUGUAUACUAUAAAAAAAACUUUAUUUUUUACAGAAAAUAUAAAGCUGUGACAUACAUUUCAGAGUCACGCUUAAUCAUUCUGAAUGAGUUUAUUGAGACAGUAAUUGAGAAGGUUUUGCGAAGAUGGUCUGACUGUACUAUUACAGAUAUUGUUGAGAUAUACCCAUUAGAGAUAUAGAGAGAAUAACCAAAAUUGAACAGCCAUUCCAGUGUGAGUGUGUGUGUGGGUUUGUGUGUGAGUAUAAUGUACUGUAUGUUACUGAGUGAUUUUAUGUGAGAUGGACUGAAUAGUGACAUAAGCAUGUGUCCCUGUCCCUGUACACAGAAUGUGUGUGUGUGUAUAUAUGUGUGUGUGUGCGUGUGUGUGUGUAUACACACACACACGCACACACACGCACACACGGCUUGUAUUUGUACAUUAGACUAGAUUUGAUUGUUCUUUUGCAUUUUCCUUUAAUGUGAAUAUGAGAGAGUAUGUGAUAAAGUUGAACCUCGCUAUAUGAAAAAUUAAUUUAUACGAGUGUAUGCCCAUAUACACAGGUAUAUGUGCAUGUCUGUCUUUCUGUCUGUCAGUACAUGUAUAUGUAAAGUAAUAUACAUAUAUCUGCAUGAAAUAUAUCUAUAAGUCUAUGUGUUUAUUGUCACUGUUAUGCGAAAAAAUCACAUAUCCCUAACACUUUACAAUACAGUAACAUUGCAGUACAAGAAAAAAAGAACUUCUUGACUGCUAAUUAAAUUUAAUAUUAAAAUAUUUUUUUCUAUUUAAGUCAGGUAAUUUUGGAACAUUUUAUUUAGUUUAUUCAUAACAAAUUGCUUACACAAUGUAAAGAAGCAGAUUCAUUUUAUGACAGAAAGUAAAAAAAGGAGAUAGAAGUUUUUUGUUAAAGUGACAAUAAAUACACGUAUCUGUAUAUGUGUUUAAGUGUAUGUGUGUGUUAUGGACGUAUCACAGACAGACUAUGAGGCACCCAGUUUUAGCACAAGUGUAUCAGAUGGAGGGAUGUCUAUUUGAAGUAAAAAUAAUUACAGGAGGCAGUGUGAUGCAUUAUAAUCAUCUAAAGCACUUCAGCACAACAUUUCGAUUUUGUAACCAUUAAAUUUAAUUUUAAACUAUGCUGAAAAGAUGGGAAAUUGAGGAAGAUCAGGAACACCUCUGAUUACAAUGUCAGGUUCACUGUCUUCAUUUAAAAAUGCACAGUUAUUUAGUCAGUACUGGAAAGACAUAGAAGGUGAACAGUGCAGAGAGCAUAAUCUUUCUAUUAUAAAGGUUUAAGGAAUCAUAUGAGAUUAAGGCACUUUUUAGGAACAGUUACUUUAAAAAAAAGAAUUACUUUUUUGUGGGAUUCCCUGAAAUAUAUUAAUGAAAAAAUGCCAAAAUAUCCCACUGUUAAAACAAAAUGAUAGAGGACAGAUGUGUCUAGAAAUUAAUAUAUGGAUAUGGAAGUAUAGGUUUUAUAGUAUAAUUUAUUUAUUCUACAAACAUUAGUUCUAAGCACUUCUGAAACUUUUGCAGGUAAUUCAAAAGUUGCAGGUAAAUGUAUAUCAGUAACUGUUGAAUAUGCACAUAUUUUAGUCUAGUACAUUAGUGAUUAUUUGAAAUAUAAAUACAUUCGUUCUCUUUGACCACUCUGAGAACGAGAGACAGAGAGAGAGUGUGUAUGAGACAGUGAGAGAGGGGGGGAAAAGAACGAGACGGGGAAACGUAGUGACACACACACAUUUGUGUAUAUUAUGUGUUUACGUCUGAUGUGUGGGGAUGUGUGUGGUGUGUAUAUUUAGGCCGUGUGUUUGUGUUUGUGUAUGAUUUUUUGUCAAUUUGUCAGCCAGUUUAUUUUUGUGACGCAGCACACUUUCAAGACGUAUGAUGCAUUUUUUAAUAGAAAGGGCAAGAAAACGUAAGACUUUUUUUUGAAGCAGAACCAAACUUUGAUUUGUUCAUAAUACAAUAUAACUAUGAUUAUUAUGUAUUAGGCAAAAAUAUAGUUUUGCAGUAUAUCACCUCUUUUAUGUCUUUUUUUCCUGAGGGAUCAGUGAGGCUAGUGAAAUGCCUAGACCCUGGAUUUAGUUAAGCUAACUAUAUAGAAACUGAUUCAUAUUUGUAUGUGUAUUUGAUUGUUUUUCAGGUUAAGGUUUUUACUGCACAGCUGUAGAUCAGUUUUAUAAAAAAAAUGUUUCAGUAAAAAGAGAUUAUUCAGACAUUUAACAAACAAACACCUAAAUUCUGUUUGUAAAAAGCAUAUAGUGGUGAGAUAUUCAUUAGAAUAUAAUGAUAAGUCUGUACAAUAUGAUGUUUAACAUUGAUUGCACACUAUCACCACACAUUUAGCAUGUUUCUUAGUAAAAAGCUCUGUUUAUAGUAAAGCCUCAAAAACAUAAAUAUAUACUCUGAAUGAAAUGAAUGAAUGAAUGAGUAUUUUAUUGUAGUAUUAUAUGUGAUAAAUUGGGAUGCUCAAGAGUGCUAAAAGCAGUGUAGCUAGCAGUUUAAUUCACGUUGUCCAACUGCUCUGUGUGUGUGUGUCAGAGAGACAGAGUGAGUUAAGGGGGUAACGGGAGCUAAGAGGGAUGGUGAAAAGAAUAUAUCUCUCUAUAUAUAAUAUAUAUAUAAUUAUGUCUCUAUAUAUAAUUGUAUAAUAAUAUAUAUAAUUGUGUGCAAUAUUUUACAUGUGUAAAUAUAUGUACAAGCAUUUGUGUGUUUAUAUGUAAAAAAAAAGUUUUAAUGAUUUAAUUCCUUUAAAUUCAUUUGUGCAUUCUAAAUUAGGCUCAAUCUUACAUUUCCUGUAAUUUACAACUUCAUAUCAUAAGCAAAAAUAUAUUUUUCCAGCACACUCUUUUCCAGCUCUGAGCACAGAUACGUUAUGUCACUCUGCUGAGUCUCUCUACUCUGCUACGUCUGUACAGAUGAACAGACACCACUGCAACAGGAAAAUAAAAAUAAUACAGUGAAAAAAAUCUGUAUUUAAAACUAACAUUUAUAUUUUAAAAAUCAUAUCUCUCCUCAUUAAACUGAAAUGUGUAAGCAUGUGAGGUUAUGAAAGAUAUGUAAUACAGUUCUUCCUACGUUUGCUGUGAGAAUGUAAUAUAAGUGAAUGGGCAUAUGAAUAUAUAAUCUAGGCAUUCUAUUCAUAUCAUAAUAAGAUAACUGACAGUCUUAUAUGUUGUUUUUAUUACAGAUAAUAUGUAUGGAAAUCCCCAAAUGUCUGCAAGGACCUCGGAUUCCUCUAGAUUGUCUCUGUUCUUUAUCAAAAAAGGAUAUUUUACUACCACAAUAAUCCAGGAGCGGGACAGUAAGAUUGCUCGUCCUGAUCGUGGCUCCUGUGGUCCUCUAUGUGUAUAGAGCUGAAAAUGGUUAAUAUAAGCAGAAGAACUACAUGGGGAACUGGCGCAGGUGAAUCUGGACACGUUCAGGGAUAUUUAUGUAUGUGUGUUCUGGACGUAUGUCGAGCAGAGGAUUAAAAGAGGAGCAAUUUGUCAGGUAUUUAAAGUUUAAAGCUCUUGUUGAGGGCGUGUGUUUGAGGCUGUUAGAAUACGUUAUGAACGCUGUCAUUUUCUUAUCAUUCAUGACGUUGUUUCUUGGCACUGUGAGAAAUAAACAUAUAUCGAAACAAAUGAAAAAUAAAGCUUAAUUUAAUUAAGACACUGGCGAGUGUGUUAACCUGUGUGCUAGCGUUGAUGAAUUCAGUCUGCUGAUUUUGAAUGGCUUGGUCACGACAGCAUGUGCGCUUCAGUGCACUUUAUGUAACAUAUGUUAAAAGGCAGGAUCAGGUAGAGAAAAACACAAUGCUGGUAUGUAUAGUUUUAACCAUUUUAUUAUAGGACAGAUAAGUGCUGUGUGUGUGUGGAAAGUUUUAAACAGACGUGUCAGGACGGUGCGUAAAGACGGUGCGUCUCAGUGGCUCCGUGAUCAUAACGUCACGACUGAAUUUGGAGAUGCGUUUAAAGAUAUUAUAACCUGUACUAUAUAUAUAAUAACUGCACAGAGGCUUGUUGUAAUUAUAUAAACGGUCUUUGGUGGACGUUGCUGUUUGUUGGAGGACUAGUGAGCAGUGUGUGACUGAGAGCCAUGCUGUUUAUUGGGGUGAGGAGUGUCGCUGUCCACUGUGCCUGGUGCUGAUGUGCGCGCACUCCAAGAGCCAGCUGCCACUCAGUAAGGCUCCUUACACACACAUUUAAUUACACGUAUAAUCUAUAUAGACUAUAUUUCAAUUAAAGAAAAUGUACAGUUAUUAGAAAGGUUAUCAGUGGCUGUUUUGAUUGGAAAAAAUGCACAUUUUAAUACAGUUGAUUUGUGAUGAUUGCGCCAACAUGCUUGAACACGUUUUUUUAUAAAGUCUAAAAACAGAUAAAGAACCAGAAACCAGUGACAACAAUGAGGCAACAUGUGAAUAUGUCGAUACUUUAAGGGGAGGGAAAUAUAGGAAAGUGCACGUAGCGUUUCGAUGGACUUCCCCCAACUAUAGCCUAUUGAUGUGAAUGAUAUUAUUUUGCAUUAAAAUAACACGAGACGCACCGUGGAACAAAGCCACGUCUGAACGUCUGAGCACACACACACGCUGUAUUCCAAACCACAGACAGUAGAUAUAAGCACCAAUGUUCGACAAAAAAAUGUAAAUGUCUGUAUAACAAUGUAUGUAAAAAAUAUAUAAAUCCUAAUAUAUAUUGUUUAUGUCCAAAUUGUGUAUUUAUGCUUACAUGAGCUAAUUAACAUGUUUAUCUGGUGGGAUAGAAAAGCUAAGGUGUAAAAAACACUGGUUUUAAAGGGGAAUUAAUUACUGUAACUGCGUUUGUGCUGCUUAUAUGUGUAAAACAGAUACAUUUUUAACACAAAUAAAAACGAAACAUUUAAAUGCUUGUGUCAAAAUUGUUUAAGCUGCUGAAUAAAGUUUACAUUUGCUUUAGUGCCUGUACUACAAAUCUGACGUGUGAACAUAUUAUGUGAUGUGGUUAUGUAUUUAGUCAUUGUGUUAUUUUGAUAGUGAGGUGACCUGGUCAUUCUUUAUUUUAAACAUUUAAGCGUUUAUGAUUGUUUUUUUUAUUAUUACUAAAACAUUUCUGACUAAAUAAAAAAACAGAUAUUAUUUAUAUUCAGUCCUGAGUCGUGUUUUUUUAUUUGUGUCCCACGUGAAUUAUGGUAUUAAACCAGUUUUCUGGGUGUGCUGUUAUUUAACAUGAAGGAUUUCAGCUCAAACGUCUUUUUGUUUGCAAUAAAAGUGUAAAAAGUGUCUAAAAAGAAAACAAUAGGCAGAGUUGGGGCAAAAUGUGAGAGUUUGAGAGGCUGGGGGAUCACUGUGAUAAUAAAAUACUCGAUAUUACUGCUAAUACGUU